rnacentral:rRNA from 1 species
GAUUAACGCUGGCGGCGUGCAUAACACAUUCAAGUCGAACGGACUUACAAGGGGCUUGCUCCGAGUAAGUUAGUGGCGGACGGGUGAGUAACGCGUGAGCAACCUGCCCUUUUGUGGGGGAUAACGACUGGAAACGGUCGCUAAUACCGCAUAACCAGAUAGUAUCGCAUGGUACAGUCUGCAAAGAUUUAUUGCAAAAGGAUGGGCUCGCGUCCGAUUAGGCAGUUGGUGAGGUAACGGCUCACCAAACCGACGAUCGGUAGCCGGACUGAGAGGUUGAACGGCCACAUUGGAACUGAGAUACGGUCCAG